rnacentral:lncRNA from 1 species
GCCUCUAUAAAUAUAACAUAGCAAAAUUCUUUGUACACCACCUGCGGUGUACAAAAUCUGACAUAAAGCACACCACCUCACCCGAUUGGUCCAUGUAGCGCCCUCAUGGCUCGAUAUGAUGGAUAUCACUUCUGGCCAAACUGGACGUCUGAAGGUGCAAAGAAAAUGAAGGCAGUGCACUGUGCCAUUGCCGAAUAUAUUUAAUACACAUUAUAAUCUGUUUUUCAAAUUUAACAUGAUAAAAAUACUCUCUCUCCAAGAUAAUAUUUUUACUAUUUGCAGUCUGAUUAGAUAUUUCGAAUGCUGCUCUUCUCUCUCUUCUUUCUCAUUUUGUUGAGCUUCUGUGAUCAAUGCAUUAAUAUGACAUAAAAAAUAUUAAAAUUAUUGUUAUUUAAUAUCUAUUAUUUAAUUUUUGAUACUUCUUAUAUUUUUUUUAGAAAUUAUUAAUUAUGAAGUCUAAUCACAAACCAACCAACAAAAUCAUCAACAUUUGUAGUGAUGAAGCCCAAACUAAAGCUCAAGCUAGUCUUUAUCAACAAAUUUUUUAGUAACAUAAAAGAGGCAUACAGUUAAAAAAACACAGCAACCACACGGCCUAGAAUAAAGAAGCCCGCAUGGCCCAGUGCUUCACGCCCGCGGCCCACAAGCUUGCAUGGCACAGGAGCGAUGCCACGCGGCUCACAGUGUGGUGCACGGGGUUGAUAGCGUGGUCUACCAUGAUGCAUGAGAAUGUAGGUGGGCAUUUCGAUUCAAGCGCUAGCAGGCGCGUGGGUGUGUGGGGCACUGUUUGAAAGUGUGCACGGGAGCUAUUCAUGGGAGAAGGCUGGGUGCGGCUCAUGUGAGAAUGGGCUCAUGAGUAGGCCUGGAUGCGGUUUAGGCAUAGACACGGGCAUGGUUGGCGAGUGAGAGCUGAAGUGGCUGCAGGCGUAUGUCAGGGAAGAGAGAAGGCCUUAGGGUUUUUAAAGAAAAUAAAAAGAAAGGAUGUGAAGGCUUGUGAGUUUUAUGAUGGCUAGGACUCUAAGGCUAUAAAAAGGGGUGUGGAGGCACCUAAGGAGAGGAGAUCAAAGAGGAGAAAAAGUUGAAAGAAAAAUAAGAGAAGAAGAGAGGGAGAAGGCUGUGAGGUUGGAGAGUUUUCAAGGUGACAUAAGCAGAUUUUGCUGAGAAGAUAGAGCCAUCAACCAGCAAGAGCCAAUCCAUAAGCAACUAAAUCCACUAGUCUCGA